GUGGGGAAUCUUAGACAAUGGGGGAAACCCUGAUCUAGCAACGCCGCGUGAGUGAUGAAGGUCUUCGGAUUGUAAAGCUCUGUUAAUCGGGACGAAAGAGCCUAGUGUGAAUAAUGCUAGGAAGUGACGGUACCGGAAUAGAAAGCCACGGCUAACUACGUGCCAGCAGCCGCGGUAAUACGUAGGUGGCUAGCGUUGUUCGGAAUUACUGGGCGUAAAGCGCGCGUAGGCGGACCAGAAAGUUGGAGGUGAAAUCCCAGGGCUCAACCUUGGAACUGCCUUCAAAACUCCUGGUCUGGAGUUCGAGAGAGGUGAGUGGAAUUCCGAGUGUAGAGGUGAAAUUCGUAGAUAUUCGGAGGAACACCAGUGGCGAAGGCGGCUCACUGGCUCGAUACUGACGCUGAGGUGCGAAAGCGUGGGGAGCAAACAGGAUUAGAAACCCCUGUAGUCC
rnacentral:rRNA from 1 species